UGGGGAAUAUUGCACAAUGGGCGCAAGCCUGAUGCAGCGACGCCGCGUGAGGGAUGGAGGCCUUCGGGUUGUAAACCUCUUUCGCCAGUGAAGCAGGCCAUCUUCUUUGUGGGGUGGUUGACGGUAGCUGGAUAAGAAGCGCCGGCUAACUACGUGCCAGCAGCCGCGGUAAUACGUAGGGCGCGAGCGUUGUCCGGAAUUAUUGGGCGUAAAGAGCUCGUAGGCGGCUGGUCGCGUCUGUCGUGAAAUCCCCUGGCUUAACUGGGGGCUUGCGGUGGGUACGGGCCGGCUUGAGUGCGGUAGGGGAGACUGGAAUUCCUGGUGUAGCGGUGGAAUGCGCAGAUAUCAGGAGGAACACCGGUGGCGAAGGCGGGUCUCUGGGCCGUUACUGACGCUGAGGAGCGAAAGCGUGGGGUGCGAACAGG
rnacentral:rRNA from 1 species